UACGAAGGUGGCAAGCGUUGUUCGGAUUUACUGGGCGUACAGGGAGCGUAGGCGGUUGGAUAAGCCCUCCGUGAAAUCUCCAGGCUUAACCUGGAAAGUGCAGAGGGGACUGUUCAGCUAGAGGAUGGGAGAGGAGCGCGGAAUUCCAGGUGUAGCGGUGAAAUGCGUAGAUAUCUGGAGGAACACCGGUGGCGAAGGCGGCAUCCUGGACCGAUACUGACGCUGAGGAGCGAAAGCCAGGGGAGCAAACGGG
rnacentral:rRNA from 1 species